ensembl:rRNA 5S_rRNA 5S ribosomal RNA
GUUUAUGGUCAUGUCACCCUGAACUCACUAGAUCCAGUCUCGGAAGCUAAGCCGGGUCGAGCCUGGUUAGUACUUGGAUGAGAAACCAACUGGAAAUACCGUGUGCUGUAGACU